UACGUAGGGGGCAAGCGUUGUCCGGAAUCAUUGGGCGUAAAGAGCGCGUAGGCGGUCCGGUAAGUCCGCUCUGAAAGUCCGGGGCUCAACCCCGGGUCUGCAGUGGAUACGGGCAGGCUAGAGGUAGGUAGGGGAGAAUGGAAUUCCCGGUGUAGCGGUGAAAUGCGCAGAUAUCGGGAGGAACACCGGUGGCGAAGGCGGUUCUCUGGGCCAUUACUGACGCUGAGGAGCGAAAGCGUGGGGAGCGAACAGG
rnacentral:rRNA from 1 species